rnacentral:rRNA from 1 species
UACGUAGGUGACAAGCGUUGUCCGGAUUUACUGGGCGUAAAGAGCGCGCAGGCGGUCGUUCAAGUCGAGUGUGAAAGCCCCCGGCUCAACUGGGGAGGGUCAUUCGAUACUGAUCGACUCGAAGGCAGGAGAGGGAAGUGGAAUUCCCGGUGUAGCGGUGAAAUGCGUAGAUAUCGGGAGGAACAUCAGUGGCGAAGGCGGCUACCUGGCCCAAUACUGACACUCAGGUGCGACAGCGUGGGGAGCAAACAGG